rnacentral:lncRNA from 1 species
UGCAAAGACCAUCAACCAAAAUCUCACAAGUCACUGCUGAAAUCUCCCAUCCCAUCUCAGUCAUCUCAUAGGCCAUCCCAAUCCCCUCUUCAAACUUACCAUCCAAAAGAAACCAUUUAAUUAAAGUAUUAAAGCUGACUACAUUUGGUGCACAUCCGUGAGUUUUCAUCUCCUUAAACAUUUGCAAAGCCAAGCUCAAUUGUGAGUUCUUACAGUAAACUACAUUUGGUGCACAUCCAUGAGUUUUCAUCUCCUUAAACAUUUGCAAAGCCAAGCUCAAUUGUGAGUUCUUACAGUACCCAGCAAUCAGAGUAUUGAACGUAAUUACAUCAGGCUUCACU